rnacentral:lncRNA from 1 species
AUGCCAACCAAACCUCAAAGAAAGAAAAGGCUGGUAAGCACUAAAUGCGAGAGAAAGAGUUGUUUUCAUGUGCGUUUUGUAGAGCUUUUGAGAAAUUAUAAGUGGAAGUCCCUGUGGAGUGCCGGAAUUGGAUGUUGCUCAUCCAGCAAUAAGACUUCGAAUCGACUCGAGUGUGGGAUUAUUUUUAGUCAUAUAAUCUCUUUACAGAGCUUCACAAGAUUUCCCGCUGUUAAUGAGGAAGAACUAUUCCCAUGGAGUAACACUAUAAUGUGAUAGAAAGUACUGCAAUAAUAGCAGGGCAGCAAAGUCUUCAGCUGCAGCAAAUGAGAAUGAGUCCAAAUGCAGCAGCCAUGGAUGAAGAAAUGAAGGAAAAAGAGCUGCUUGUCUUUGAAAGGCUUCCAGCAUGCAUAGAUCUCCAGCAAGACACCCUUACCUCCACUGCCAACCCUUAAAUGAGGUCUGGGAAGGGGUAGAUCCUGCCUCCACCCUUUCUAGUCAUUCAGGUGCAUUGCAUGCACCUGAGCUUCCCUGGGUUGGCCCUGCCUUCCCAUCAGGUGCUCAAUCAUUGGUUCAGGCUGUGACUCAGCAUUUCUGCUACACAUGGGUACUCUUCAAUAAGCUUUGAAUAUUUCGGUAAGAUGUCUGUCUAUUGUUAUUACAGACUUAACCUUCAGGAGCCUCUGCUGGGCAGGCUUGAGACUGCCUGCUGCACCUAAUUGUGAAGAAAAAUUUGUCAGUUAAGAGCAGAGAUGAGGCUGGCUAGGGAUAGAAAACUAUCCCUAGUAAUUGUUUAAGAUAUGCUUAAUGCAAAUGUAGUUACAGAUGCUUACAAAUAAAAUGAAAACUUUGGAUAAUAUGAUGGUUAAA